UUAACUUAUAUUUGUAUGGAAUGGGAUCGUUUGCGUACGUUUGCCGCUAGGGGCGCUGUUCCAACUGCAUACAAAAUUGGGUUA
rnacentral:pre_miRNA from 1 species